GAUGAAGAACGUAGCGAAAUGCGAUACUUGGUGUGAAUUGCAGAAUCCCGUGAACCAUCGAGUCUUUGAACGCAAGUUGCGCCCGAAGCCAUUAGGCCGAGGGCACGCCUGCCUGGGCGUCACACGUCGUUGCCCCCCCAUCUACUCCUUCGGGAUUGCGGGGGGCGGAUGAUGGCCUCCCGUGCGCCUCGUCGCGCGGUUGGCAUAAAUACCAAGUCCUCGGCGACGCACGCCACGACAAUCGGUGGUUGAGAAACCUCGGUUGCCCGUCGUGUGCGGUCGUCGCGCAUCGAGGGCUCGAAAAAAUUGCCGGGCUCCGGCUCGGCUUUCAACGCGACCCCAGGUCAGGCGGGGUUACCCGCUGAAUUUAAGCAUAUCAAUAAGCGGAGGA
rnacentral:misc_RNA from 1 species